rnacentral:rRNA from 1 species
AGAGACAGCAGUAGCCGCGGUAAUACGAAGGGUGCAAGCGUUAAUCGGAAUUACUGGGCGUAAAGCGUGCGUAGGCGGUGAGUUAAGUCUGCUGUGAAAUCCCCGGGCUCAACCUGGGAAUGGCAAUGGAUACUGGCAAGCUAGAGUGUGUCAGAGGAUGGUGGAAUUCCCGGUGUAGCGGUGAAAUGCGUAGAGAUCGGGAGGAACAUCAGUGGCGGAGGCGGCCAUCUGGGACAACACUGACGCUGAGGCACGAAAGCGUGGGGAGCAAACAGGAUUAGAUACCCCAGUAGUCCCUGUCUCUUAUAA